AUCGCUUCUCGGCCUUUGGCUAAGAUCAAGUGUAGUAUCUGUUCUUAUCAGUUUAAUACCUGAUACGUCCUCCAUUCGAGGACUUUAUAUUAAACGGAUUUUUAGAGCGAGAGCUGAAGAGCUUGCUCGUCCGCUCCAGCAUCGAACCUGGUAUUGCAGUACCUCCAGUGCACCUUUU
ensembl:snRNA U2 U2 spliceosomal RNA